GUGUUUAGAAAAAGCAUAAAUUAUGAAUUAUUUUGACUAAUGGUUAAGAUCAGAUGAUGUUGAGUGAAUCCCAGAAUGUUUUAUGUCAAAGUUCAGUAGUACGCUGUUUUGUAACC